AGGGUUUGAUCAUGGCUCAGAAUGAACGCUGGCGGCACGCUUAACACAUGCAAGUCGAACGAGAUCUUCGGAUCUAGUGGCAGACGGGUGAGUAACGCGUGGGAACCUGCCCAGUAGUAGAGAAUAACUUGGGGAAACUUAAGCUAAUACUUUAUACGUCCUUCGGGAGAAAGCUUUAUGCGCUAUUGGAUGGGCCCGCGUUAGAUUAGUUUGUUGGUGAGGUAAUGGCUCACCAAGGCGACGAUCUAUAGCUGGUCUGAGAGGAUGAUCAGCCACACUGGGACUGAGACACGGCCCAGACUCCUACGGGAGGCAGCAGUGGGGAAUAUUGGACAAUGGGGGCAACCCUGAUCCAGCGAUGCCGCGUGAGUGAUGAAGGCCCUAGGGUUGUAAAACUCUUUCGUCAGGGAAGAUAAUGACGGUACCUGAAGAAGAAGAUCCGGCUAACUCCGUGCCAGCAGCCGCGGUAAUACGGAGGGGUCUAGCGUUAUUCGGAAUUACUGGGCGUAAAGCGAGCGUAGGCGGAUUUGUAAGUUGGAGGUGAAAUCCCAGAGCUUAACUCUGGAACUGCCUUCAAAACUACAUUUCUUGAGUUUGGUAGAGGAGAGUGGAAUUCCUAGUGUAGAGGUGAAAUUCGUAGAUAUUAGGAGGAACACCAGUGGCGAAGGCGACUCUCUGGGCCAAUACUGACGCUGAGGUUCGAAAGCAUGGGUAGCGAACAGGAUUAGAUACCCUGGUAGUCCAUGCAGUAAACGAUGAGUGCUAGAUGUUGGGAAUUUAAAUUUCCAGUAUCGCAGUUAACGCGUUAAGCACUCCGCCUGGGAAGU
rnacentral:rRNA from 1 species